GGCUCGGGGCGUGACAUAUUAUCUCUCCUGAAUGCGUGUAGUAGGGGUGGAAUUGCUAUUGUGGGUUGGGCAAGGGAUUUGUGGGUUGGGCAAGGGAUAGUAUGAGUAGGUUGAUAUUUUUUCUGAGAGCGGAGCGAUUUGUGGGUUGGGCAAGGGAUAUUUUGAGGAGUCGGUUGAAUUUUGAAUCCGGUUGUUGAGGGUUGGUUGGGAGUUCAAAAAUUCAAAAAUUGAAUGUUUUGAAGUUCAAACUUGAAUUUUGGGAUGUGGAUGUGAUUGGUUGAGAAAGGAUAUUUAGGGAGUUCGUUGGAGAUUCAAAAUUCGAAAUUGAAUUUUGAACGGAAAGGUAUAUGUAUGAGAUCAUUAGGAUGAGGGAUAUUUUCUAGUUGGUUAGGGAUUUAAAAAUUCGAAAUUAAAUUUGUCUAUAAUCAAAAUUCAAAAUUAAAAUUUUGAAUGUGAGUGUAAAUGU
rnacentral:lncRNA from 1 species